rnacentral:lncRNA from 1 species
GGACGAUUCUGUGUUUAGAUUUUGGCCUGUUCCUCAUUUUAAAAUCUUGCACCCCCAGUAUUGUACUGUACAUUCUGUCCUGCCACAUUUAAUUGAUAUAGAUGUAGUUCUUUAAAUAAUACAGUAGUCGUAAGACAAUGCUUUCAGUCUUUCACUCUUUAUAUUAUAUGAAGUCUUAUUUAUAUUUAACAUUCUUAUUGCCUGCUUAGAGAAGAAAACUGGUUAUCCAUGCUCACCUUCACACCUGUGUUGUCAAAUACUAUAAAAUACUGUAUUUUAUAGGGAUUCAAGUAUUAACCCUCACCAAGUCUUUUUAAGCAUCACUGCUUCAGUUAUUUUCUUGCCUAUAGAUACUCGAUUCUUCUGCCUCAGCCUCCUGAGUAGCUGGGAUUACAGGCGUGUGCCACCACGCCCGGGUAAUUUUUGUAUUUUUAAUAGAGACGGGGUUUCACCAUGUUGGUCAGGCUGGUCUCAAACUCCUGACCUUGUGAUCUGCCUGCCUCGGCCUCCCAAAGUGCUGGGAUUACAGGUGUCAGCCACCGCACCCGGCCAGAAGUGGUUUCUUCUCAUGUGGAUGCUACAGUGACAGUUCAGGUGACUUGGAAAUUCUUUGUUGUUUGAGAUUCAUAACUCUUACUUGCUAGGAUGUUUGUGGGGACUUUUUAUUUUCUAUUUAUCAAUUAUUUCAUCCUUUGCUAUAUUUGCCUUCUAUUUUUAAUGCUUAAGUUGUCACCAUGGAAAUAAACUGGGUAGAUUGCAUAUUGUUUAGAACCG